UGAAGCCGAAAUGCCCAGUGAAAAGAGGAGGAUUCAGGAGAGAGAGAGACAACUGAAGGAGGCAGCAAAGAGGAGCACAUCACUACAGGGUUGGCUACGAAAAAUCCAAACAGCAGAUGAGGAGCAGCCACAAGCCUCCAGACACUCGGAAAAUGUGGACCAGGAGGAGGCACAUAGGGCAGGUCAGAGCAACUGCCCCUCAAAAUUCCUGUGCACGUCCCUGUAACU